rnacentral:ncRNA from 1 species
UAGACCCUGUUUCAGUCGAAGUCCAACGUCAUACGUCGGGUAUUUAUGUAGGCUGAAUGGGGUUAA